CAAAAAUAAUAAUAAUAAAAAGAACAACCACAACAAAACCUAAAAAGUCCUCUACUGUUGUUGGGAUGUGAAUGUAUGCUACCUAUAAGAGAAUGGUAUGAGAGCCUCUGUGACGUACAAGAUCUACACCAAGAUAUGGGGCGCACGGUUUUGUAAGGAAUGUAAAGGCAGGCCGCCGCCCCCUACGACGGAGACUACGAACCAUCGAUUGAUUUGCAUUGACUACUCUUCUAAUUAAUUAUCAUGUUUUGUUUUGAAUAAUAGACAACAAGCGGUGAAUCAGGGCGGAAAUCCUCCCUUUAAAGCUAGCAUAUAUUUGAAAAAAACAACAACUAUAUAAUAUUUUUUACCGAAUUUUAAUUGUUAUUUAUAUUAUUUGUCUAUAUUUCAUCUAAGUUUCCUUAAGCAAAUUAAUUUGAGGUCAUCAUUUU
rnacentral:lncRNA from 1 species